rnacentral:pre_miRNA from 1 species
AAUAGAUAAUGCCGUUGACUUUUUCUCACAUGUUUGAUCAUUUGUCUUAUUCAAAAAAUUUACGUAAUUAUAAUUUUUGUUAUGAGUUGUUUUAUUACUUAUAGUACUUUAAGUGUGAUUUAUAUCUUUUACAUUUGCAUAAAAUUUUUGAAUAAGACGAAUGAUCAAACAUGUGAGAAAAAAAUCAACGGCGUCAUCUAUU